rnacentral:rRNA from 1 species
ACGGGAGGCAGCAGUGGGGGAUAUUGCACAAUGGGGGAAACCCUGAUGCAGCGACGCCGCGUGAGUGAAGGAGUAUUUCGGUAUGUAAAGCUCUAUCAGCAGGAAAGAUAAUGACGGUACCUGACUAAGAAGCACCGGCUAAAUACGUGCCAGCAGCCGCGGUAAUACGUAUGGUGCAAGCGUUAUCCGGAUUUACUGGGUGUAAAGGGAGCGUAGACGGCAUGGCAAGCCAGAUGUGAAAGGCAGGGGCUCAACUCCUGGACUGCAUUUGGAACUGGCGGACUGGAGUCGCUGAGGGGGAACCGGAAUUCCUGGUGUAGGGGUGAAAUCUGUAGAUAUCAGGAAGAACACCGAUGGCGAAGGCAGGUUUCCAGCAGACGACUGACGCUGAGGUGCGAAGGUGCGGGGAGCAAACAGGAUUAGAUACCCUGGUA